rnacentral:lncRNA from 1 species
UUUCUGUUCUUACCACAGAAAAACUUAAAGAAGCCACAUUCUGGAUGUUGUUUUUCAUGUGUUUCAUGGACAAAAAGUCCAGACGGACCCCAUAGCUCAUGGUGCUUCUUCUCACCCCUCGCCCCUCCCCAAACUCCAUCGACACAGAAGCAUUAAUUUCAUAAGGAAGAGAAAACUUGGCUUUCUACUAAAUUCAGCUCUGAAUUCAGCCCUCCAUUUCCCAAGGGCUAGGACCCAGAGCCAAGUCAGCCCGCCCCUCCCUCUCGCUCCCAGACCUGAGCUGGGGAUGCUGCAGCCCAGGACUCCUCCAGGUUUGGAAAAGGCAGCUACGCUGGGCAAGUUUGGAAAGUUCUGGGAGAAGAGCGAAAGGAGGGAGUGUGUGUUGGCUCUUUUCCUUUCCUUGGAAAGCACUUAACAAGAAUGACACCCUACCCCCACAUCAAAUGCCUUCUCUUGCAGUCCUGGUUGUUUUAUAAAAACUGAGUUCGUGUCUUUAAAGCCAGGAUUUUCUUCCUGGUAGUAAGCAUUGGCUAAUGAUUGCCAGUCGGCUUCUGCGUCUGUGUGCCAUGUGACUUGGAGCCGGCUGUGGUUGUUACUUGUAUUUGAAUAAGAAGAUCAAGCUUAUUAUUGCAGUAAAAGCCUGUGGGACUUGUCUGUGCAACGUGAUUCCCCAGGCGGGUUACACAACGCACCGUACAGCCUCGUCUUCCAGAGGCUCCAGUUGUUUCAUAAGGUAGGUUUGGCUGCACGAGUUGGUUAUCAUCCCAGGACCACCUCAUCCAUCCUAGAACCACUAAAUCUCAAACUUGCAGGCUAGAAGUAGGAAACCAAUCCUUGGAAGUCCAAAAUGUAGCCACGACUUGCCUUUGACCCCAUCUGGAGUAAAGAGGUGCAGGCUGCCUGGUAUAGCUGCAGAAUAGGGAGUGGCCAGUGCUUGGGCCAGAAAGGAAGGCGAGGACCAAUUACAAAAGGCCCCCUAGGCCAUGCCGGCAAGUUGCCACAGGUCUCCUAAGCACAGAUGUGUCUGUUUAGCAACUUGUUCAUUAUCAACUUGAUGCAGGAGGGCCGUGUUUAAGCCUAAAUAGACAUUGUUGAAAGUGGUGAUUUGCCAACCAUUCUUGACCCCCACACUUAUAGAAUAGUGAAUCGGGAGGCAGUUGGGGGAGGAUACUAGUACUAAAACCCCCUAGAAAUGAUAGAUGGCUGCCCCUCACCUCAUCGGCUUUCAUCUAAAUUAAUGGAAAAUGGCUUCUCACUCCCAUUGUCUCUUAAAAUGACGCGUUGGCUCCCUUAUGUACCUAAGGUUGGAAUCCCAGAUGGUGAGGUGAUAUAUCUCAGGUCGUGUUCAAGGGAGGAACUUGCUUCUCAAGUCUCAACUCCAAGAUAAACAUGCUGUUACUGCCAUGUACUUAGCUUCCAAAAACACAGCCAUGAGGAAAAUGCUUCAUGCAAUGUGACGCCGGAGGUAUAAUUAAACUUCAAAAGGGUAUCAAUUGCAUCAUGUUCAGGAAGAAUGUAGAAAAAUAAAAGCGGUACUGAAAGAAACCCUAAAACACCCC